ACUUGGGUAGCUUAAAUUAAAGCAUAAUGUUGAAGAUAUUAUUAUAAGGUUAUUUCUUCUCAAGUA
rnacentral:tRNA from 1 species